rnacentral:rRNA from 1 species
ACGGGUGAGUAACGCGUGGGUAACGUACCCUAGGGUUGGGGAUAACUCAUCGAAAGGUGAGCUAAUACCGAAUGUGUUCCUGUGAGGUGAGCCUUAUAGGAAGAAAGCGGGGCAACCCGCGCCCUUGGAUCGGCCCGCGUUCCAUCAGUUUGUUGGUGGGGUAAUGGCCUACCAAGACUACGACGGAUAGCUGGUCUGAGAGGAUGAUCAGCCACACUGGGACUGAGACACGGCCCAGACUCCUACGGGAGGCAGCAGUGGGGAAUAUUGGUCAAUGGGCGAAAGCCUGAACCAGCAAUGCCGCGUGAGUGAUGAAGGCCUUCGGGUUGUAAAGCCCUGUCAGUGGGAACGAAUAAGUCGAUUAAUACUCGAUGAUGACGGUACCACAAAGGAAGCACCGGCUAACUCUGUGCCAGCAGCCGCGGUAAUACAGAGGGUGCAAGCGUUGUUCGGAAUUACUGGGCGUAAAGCGCGUGUAGGCGGUCUGAUAAGUCGGUCGUGAAAGCCCUUGGCUUAACCAAGGAACUGCGAUCGAAACUGCCGGACUAGAGUAUCGGAGGGGAUGGUGGAAUUCCCGGUGU